rnacentral:rRNA from 1 species
AGAGUUUGAUCCUGGCUCAGAACGUACGCUGGCGGCACGCCUAACACAUGCAAGUCGAACGAAGUAGCAAUACUUAGUGGCAGACGGGUGAGUAACAUGUAGGUAUCUGCCCUUUGGCCUGGAAUAACACGAGGAAACUUGUGCUAAUACCGGAUAAGUCUUUACGGAGAAAGCUUUAUGCACCAUUGGAUGAGCCUGCACUUGAUUAGUUUGUUGGUGGGGUAAUGGCCUACCAAGACUGUGAUCAAUAGCUGAUUUGAGAGGAUGAUCAGCCACAUUGGGACUGAGACACGGCCCAAACUCCUACGGGAGGCAGCAGUGGGGAAUCUUGCACAAUGGAGGAAACUCUGAUGCAGCGAUGCCGCGUGAGUGAAGAAGGCCCUUGGGUUGUAAAGCUCUUUCGUCGGGGAAGAAAAUGACUGUACCCGAAUAAGAAGGUCCGGCUAACUUCGUGCCAGCAGCCGCGGUAAUACGAAGGGACCUAGCGUAGUUCGGAAUUACUGGGCUUAAAGAGUUCGUAGGUGGUUGAAAAAGUUAGUGGUGAAAUCCCAGAGCUUAACUCUGGAACUGCCAUUAAAACUUUUCAGCUAGAGUAUGAUAGAGGAAUGCAGAAUUUCUAGUGUAGAGGUGAAAUUCGUAGAUAUUAGAAAGAAUACCAAUUGCGAAGGCAGCUUUCUGGAUCAUUACUGACACUGAGGAACGAAAGCAUGGGUAGCGAAGAGGAUUAGAUACCCUCGUAGUCCAUGCCGUAAACGAUGUGUGUUAGACGUUGGAAAUUUAUUUUCAGUGUCGCAGGGAAACCGAUAAACACACCGCCUGGGGAGUACGACCGCAAGGUUAAAACUCAAAUGAAUUGACGGGGACCCGCACAAGUAGUGGAGCAUGUGGUUUAAUUCGAAGAUACGCGCAGAACCUUACCAACACUUGACAUGUUCGUCGCGACUCUAAGAGAUUAGAGUUUUCGGUUCGGCCGGACGAAACACAGGUGCUGCAUGGCUGUCGUCAGCUCGUGUCGUGAGAUGUUGGGUUAAGUCCCGCAACGAGCGCAACCCUCACUUUUAGUUGCCAUCAUUAAGUUGGGCACUCUGAAAGAACUGCCAGUGAUAAGCUGGAGGAAGGUGGGGAUGACGUCAAGUCCUCAUGGCCCUUACGUGUUGGGCUACACACGUGCUACAAUGGUAUCUACAACAGGAAGCAAAACGGCGACGUUAAGCAAAUCCUUAAAAGAUACCUCAGUUCGGAUUGCACUCUGCAACUCGAGUGCAUGAAGCUGGAAUUACUAGUAAUCGUGGAUCAGCGUGCCACGGUGAAUGCGUUCCCGGGUCUUGUACACACCGCCCGUCACACCAUGGGAGUUGGUUCUACCUUAAGGCAAGGUUUAGAACCCUUGACCACGGUAUAGUCAGCGACUGGGGUGAAGUCGUAACAAGGUAACC